AGGAACACAGUAGAGAAAACAUAGUAGAAGAAACACACAAAAGAAAAAGAAAUCAGAUAAACAUCCAAACGGUAAGAAAGGCUUGUAUAGUCAUAAGCAGGAGGAGUCGAGGCCAGGCUUGAACAGACAGGGCUUGCUGGAACAAGGCCGGAGAUGGACACGAAACUUAAAUCAAGCAAGGUCUGGACCCAUCUUCUUCGUGGUUAGGCCAUGAAAGUUCAGCAACCAAGUGUACAGGAACCAUAGAAUGCUGGUAGGUGGUUAGACCGCCAUGGAUUCAGGCCAGGAGGUGGCCAGAGAAGGCGAGUGAAGCUCAUCGGAGCAGAG
rnacentral:lncRNA from 1 species